rfam:Schistosoma mattheei strain Denwood, Zambia genome assembly, scaffold: SMTD_scaffold0007883
AUCUAACUGACCUGUCCCAAAUAGGAUGAAACGCGUGUCCUGGAU